GAGUUUGAUCCUGGCUCAGAACGAACGCUGGCGGCGUGCUUAACACAUGCAAGUCAGGGAGAAAGUCUCUUCGGGGAUGAUUAAACCGGCGCACGGGUGAGUAACACGUGAGUGACCUGCCUUUUAGACUGGAACAACUUACCGAAAGGUGAGCUAAUGCCGGAUGAGUUAUAUAAGUGCAUGUUUAUAUAGGAAAAGUUGGGGAGACCUGACGCUGGAAGAUGGACUCGCGUCCCAUUAGCUAGUUGGUAGGAUAAUGGCCUACCAAGGCGACGAUGGGUAGCCGGCCUGAGAGGGUGGCCGGCCACACUGGGACUGAGACACGGCCCAGACUCCUACGGGAGGCAGCAGUGGGGAAUUUUGCGCAAUGCUCGUAAGAGUGACGCAGCGACGCCGCGUGAAUGACGAAGGCCUUCGGGUCGUAAAGUUCUUUCGACAGGGAAGAAAAUGCCUAUAAGUAACUGUGUAUGUAUUGACGGUACCUGUAUAAGCAGCCCCGGCUAACUCCGUGCCAGCAGCCGCGGUAAUACGGAGGGGGCGAGCGUUGUUCGGAGUGACUGGGCGUAAAGAGCACGUAGGCGGUGUUGUAAGUCAUUAGUCAAAGACUAGAGCUCAACUUUAGUAAGGCUAGUGAUACUAUAAUACUAGAGUAUC
rnacentral:rRNA from 1 species